CAGCAGCCGCGGGAAUACGUAGGGUGCGAGCGUUAAUCGGAAUUACUGGGCGUAAAGCGUGCGCAGGCGGUUUUGUAAGACAGGCGUGAAAUCCCCGGGCUCAACCUGGGAAUGGCGCUUGUGACUGCAAAGCUAGAGUGCGGCAGAGGGGGAUGGAAUUCCGCGUGUAGCAGUGAAAUGCGUAGAUAUGCGGAGGAACACCGAUGGCGAAGGCAAUCCCCUGGGCCUGCACUGACGCUCAUGCACGAAAGCGUGGGGAGCAAACAGGAUUAGAUACCCCUGUAGUCCCUGUCUCUUAUAA
rnacentral:rRNA from 1 species